rnacentral:rRNA from 1 species
AGAGUUUGAUUCUGGCUCAGGAUGAACGCUAGCUACAGGCUUAACACAUGCAAGUCGAGGGGUAACGACAGCGAAAGCUUGCUUUUGCUGGGCGACGACCGGCGCACGGGUGAGUAACGCGUAUCCAACCUGCCCAUAACUAAGGGAUAAUCCGUAGAAAUGCGGUCUAAUACCUUAUGUGUUCCAACGAAGACAUCUGAAUUGGAAUAAAGAUUUAUCGGUUAUGGAUGGGGAUGCGUCUGAUUAGAUUGUUGGCGGGGCAACGGCCCACCAAGUCUGCGAUCAGUAGGGGUUCUGAGAGGAAGGUCCCCCACAUUGGAACUGAGACACGGUCCAA